rnacentral:misc_RNA from 1 species
CCCGCCACACACGCACACACAUACACAUACAACCUGCAUCAUCUUCCCUCUCUUCCCUCCUCCCCCGGUUCUCUUGCGCGCAAGGCGUGCACGUCCUGCGUGAGACCACCACUGCAUUGCGACUUUCUGCACCGAUGCAUACUCGAAGAAGGGGAGAGGGGCCUUCCACGCACACACAUCAAUCAAGUAACCGUGCAGAUGCCGUCCGAUCGCGACCCCUCCGGGGAUGGCUUCAACAACCCCUACGCGAAUACCACCCUUGUUGGUAACUGGUUGGAGGACCGCCUGCAGCAGCGCAUCGUGCACAAGCGCCGCGGCGGAGCGGCAGCGACAUGGUGCGCACAGGGCAUCUUUGAGGACCCGGCGGUGACGAUGGCGCGGCACCCGGCAGAGGCGCAGGCGGCCCUCUUGCACAGCACCUACGAAGUCGACUACGGACAUCGACUGGGAAUGACGCAACGGACCGGCAGUGGUGGCAUGGACAACUCUGCUGCCGUCUCCACGCUGAUGCGCGGUAGCAGGCACAACGCCAACGCUGCGGGCCCUGGCAGUGGCUCUUCCACGGCCAAGGGCGGAAUCGAUAAAGUGCUUCUCUUCUCCGUCGACCCCGUCGCGGACCCGGCAGCGCCGCUGCCGCUCUCCACCAACGCCGACACGUACGGCGCCUUCUACUACGAAACCGGCGACGGAUCGGUCGAUGUCAACGGGGCGCGGUACGCAGGCUCUUCAACGGGCGCCACCACCUCCUCGCCGGCUGACCGGGGGGACGGCGGGGCCACUGCGCCACCCGCUGGCGCGGAUCGUAACUUGUACGACAGCGUGUCACGCGCGGUAGCCGCUGCCGCUGCGCCGUCCUCCAGCUUUCGUAUGCCCAGGGCUCAGAUGCAGCGGGGUGCCAACGCCGACGCCACGUCGUCGUCGUUGCCAGUCCCGCGGCGCCACAUGCUCAGCCGCGGCGUAGCGACGACAAGCACGUUUGGCCACACAGGAUGGACACUCGCGUCCUCCUCCGCUACCUCAGCCGCUGGCCACGUUAGCGCGGCCCCCUGGCGACCGCCCCAGCGGCACCGACCGCCGAACAAGGACAGCAUGGACGGCGAGCGUUGGUGCUCAUCGAAGCAAGCUGCGGACACGCCGGUAGAGCACUUCACGCUGCAGCAGCGCCUGCCGCCAGUGCGCAUGUGAGGCACGACCGCCGUCUCCAGAGUGUUGGGCGGGAAAGGGGGUUAAGUGCGGCACCGACCGGGACUAGCAAGGAAUGAACGCUGGGAAAAAGCGCACGGCUGGGCCAAACGGCGCCCCUGCCCCGCCACGAUCGCGCCCCGCCUCAGCGAGUCGCCUCUCCCGCAUCUUAAACCCCGAAGUCGCCAAGGCGAGUGACGGCUCUCCAGGGCACGAAAACGGCGGCCCGCUCCUCUUCCUCGGAACGGUGAUGUACAUAGGCAGAAAACGGCAGACAGGCGCACACAUCAACAAAAGACCGCGAUGGCGAUCUACAGGCACGCUGCUGGCGAACAAUCCUCUCCCUGUGUCUCGUGCUAGCAUGUCGGCGCGCCUGUGCUCGUGUGGUAGCCCCUCACACGCACCACCACCACCGACUCUCUCACUCGCUCUUGGCUUGUGCGUCUCCCUGCCCGUGCAGUCGUCUCGCUAUCCCUCACUCCCUCACCCCUCGCCUACACUUUAGGCGUGGGUUGGGCGGGUCGUCUGCCUUUUUUUUUCCCACUUGGUCUGCUUGCUCCCCAUGAUGGAGAGAGGCGCUCACCGACGCGUCACCGUCUACCAUUCGCUUUCCCCCGGCUCCACACAGCCCCGCCACCCGACGUCUCCAUGUCGAGUUUGCCCCCAUGCGCGUUUCGGCCGGUGUGCGCAUGGGUUACCGCAGGUGGGAGGGAGUCGGCAGAGGGCGAUGACACAACGCGCAAGAGCGAUUGCAGGCGAAAAGUGGACCUAUGAGGAUUUCGGCCGGCGAGCUUCGACACGUGUCCGUGGGGCGUGCCAGGUGCAGGGCAGGGAGGGGGUGGGGUACAGUCAGAGGGGCACAUAUAUACGUAUACAUCAUGUACAGUCUCUACCAGUACACAGGCCGAGUGCAUACCCACCGCCACAGACACAUGCGCGCAUGCACCGCACCAGGCACACAGCACUGUGAAAGCGUCUGCACAGUGUACAACGUCGCGUUGUUCACGCUACCACCGCCACACACACACACACACCACCACCACCACCGCACUUUCACCGCCACUCGUGCUCGCGUGGAGGUCAAUGUCGCUCACCAAUGCCGACUCACGCUUCUUUACGAGCAUAGACGGCGGAAGAAAGGGGGCAGGCGGGGGGCUCGUGUUGGCCUCGUAGCGCAGCUUCAACUCUGCACGUCGUGUCAAGCUGCGUGCCUCAUCUCCAUCUCUUUUCUCCUCAUCCGCUCCGCCACACCUGCGGCCCUGUCCCCUCUUCGCGCCAGUUGGCCCCGCGCAUCACCCUCACCCACCCCCUUUCUAUAUAACUUCUCCACCCACACGCCACACUGCAGCUGACCCGCCCGCCCCCCCUCCUCUUUUCUACUCACUCUGCCGCACACACGCGCGCACACACAG